rnacentral:rRNA from 1 species
AUUGAACGCUGGCGGAAUGCUUUACACAUGCAAGUCGAACGGCAGCACGGACUUCGGUCUGGUGGCGAGUGGCGAACGGGUGAGUAAUGUAUCGGAACGUGCCCAGUCGUGGGGGAUAACGUAGUGAAAAUUACGCUAAUACCGCAUACGAUCUAUGGAUGAAAGCGGGGGAUCGCAAGACCUCGCGCGAUUGGAGCGGCCGAUAUCAGAUUAGGUAGUUGGUGGGGUAAAGGCUCACCAAGCCAAAGAUCUGUAGCUGGUCGAAGAGGACGACCAGCCACACUGGAACUGAGACACGGUCCAGACUCCUACGGGAGGCAGCAGUGGGGAAUUUUGGACAAUUGGCGAAAGCCUGAUCCAGCCAUUCCGCGUGCAGGAUGAAGGCCCUCGGGUUGUAAACUGCUUUUGUACAGAACGAAAAGGUUUCUACUAAUACUAGGAGCUCAUGACGGUACUGUAAGAAUAAGCACCGGCUAACUACGUGCCAGCCGCCGCAGUAA